rnacentral:rRNA from 1 species
GUUGGGUAGGGGAGCGUUCUGUAAGCCUGCGAAGGUGUACUGUGAGGUAUGCUGGAGGUAUCAGAAGUGCGAAUGCUGACAUAAGUAACGAUAAUGCGGGUGAAAAACCCGCACGCCGGAAGACCAAGGGUUCCUGUCCAACGUUAAUCGGGGCAGGGUGAGUCGACCCCUAAGGCGAGGCUGAAAAGCGUAGUCGAUGGGAAACGGGUUAAUAUUCCCGUACUGGUGGUAACUGCGAUGGGGGAACGGAGAAGGCUAGGUUGUCCGGGCGACGGUCGUCCCGGUUCAAGCAGGUAGGCAGAGUGAUUAGGCAAAUCCGGUCACUUAAUGCUGAGAUGUGAUGACGAACCACCAAGGUGGUGAAGCAAUUGAUGCCCCGCUUCCAGGAAAAGCCUCUAAGCUUCAGGUUACCAACAAUCGUACCCCAAACCGACACAGGUGGUCAGGUAGAGAAUACUCAGGCGCUUGAGAGAACUCGGGUGAAGGAACUAGGCAAAAUGGUGCCGUAACUUCGGGAGAAGGCACGCUGGCGGUAGGUAAAGUCCCUUGCGGACGGCGCUGAAGCCAGUCGAAGAUACCAGCUGGCUGCAACUGUUUAUUAAAAACACAGCACUGUGCAAACACGAAAGUGGACGUAUACGGUGUGACGCCUGCCCGGUGCUGGAAGGUUAAUUGAUGGGGUUAGCGUAAGCGAAGCUCCUGAUCGAAGCCCCAGUAAACGGCGGCCGUAACUAUAACGGUCCUAAGGUAGCGAAAUUCCUUGUCGGGUAAGUUCCGACCUGCACGAAUGGCGUAAUGAUGGCCAGGCUGUCUCCACCCGAGACUCAGUGAAAUUGAACUCGCUGUGAAGAUGCAGUGUACCCGCGGCAAGACGGAAAGACCCCGUGAACCUUUACUAUAGCUUGACACUGAACAUUGAGCCUUGAUGUGUAGGAUAGGUGGGAGGCUUUGAAGUGUGGACGCCAGUCUGCAUGGAGCCAACCUUGAAAUACCACCCUUUAACGUUUGAUGUUCUAACCUAGGCCCAUAAACUGGGUCGGGGACCGUGUCUGGUGGGUAGUUUGACUGGGGCGGUCUCCUCCUAAAGAGUAACGGAGGAGCACGAAGGUUGGCUAAGCAUGGUCGGACAUCAUGCGGUUAGUGCAAAGGCAUAAGCCAGCUUGACUGCGAGAGUGACGGCUCGAGCAGGUACGAAAGUAGGUCUUAGUGAUCCGGUGGUUCUGAAUGGAAGGGCCAUCGCUCAACGGAUAAAAGGUACUCCGGGGAUAACAGGCUGAUACCGCCCAAGAGUUCAUAUCGACGGCGGUGUUUGGCACCUCGAUGUCGGCUCAUCACAUCCUGGGGCUGAAGUAGGUCCCAAGGGUAUGGCUGUUCGCCAUUUAAAGUGGUACGCGAGCUGGGUUUAGAACGUCGUGAGACAGUUCGGUCCCUAUCUGCCGUGGGCGUUGGAAGAUUGAGAGGGGUUGCUCCUAGUACGAGAGGACCGGAGUGAACGCACCACUGGUGUUCGGGUUGUCAUGCCAAUGGCAUUGCCCGGUAGCUAAGUGCGGAAGAGAUAACCGCUGAAAGCAUCUAAGCGGGAAACUUGCCUCGAGAUGAGUCUUCCCUGUCGCUUUAAGUGACCUAAAGGAACGUUUAAGACUAAGACGUUGAUAGGCUGGGUGUGUAAGCGUAGCGAUACGUUGAGCUAACCAGUACUAAUGAACCGUGAGGCUUAACCUG